GUACAUUAUUAGGAGGCAAACUGAGAGAUAGAGUCUUCGAGGAGGGACGGUUUCGUUUUGGGUUCUUUGUAUUCAUCUUGGCUUCGUCUUCCUUUGUUGCUUCCCCCCUUCAUCGUCAUCAUUUUCUUCUUCUUCCCUUAUCUCUUUUUCCUGACCUAUUACAUCAGCUAUUAUCUUUCCAUCCGUUUCUCUGUUAUAAUACUUGUUUUUUCUUUUCGUUUUCUUUUUUAUCUUUGGCUUUUGCAUUUCUUGCUCCCUUUUCUUUCCCUCUCAACUUUCUGUUGGUUUCUCGGCAAUACUUAUCGCCCUCCCCUGGCUGUGUUUUUUCUUUCUUUUUUUCAUUUUUUUUGCCCCUUUAUCUGACGGUGGUUUUGCUUUAUAUAAGAAGGUCUCCCUCCCUCACUCUUGGACCUGCAACCCGAUACACACUGAAAUUAAAUAGUAUCUAUAUAGCGUGCACAUAUAUUCCGUCACAGAAUAUCUAUAUAGCGUACACAUACUCCUCCGCGCUUACGACAGAAGGAUGGACAAAAGAAAGCAAUCUGGUUCUUCUUCUUCAUUCACUUCUGAUCUUUUUGGGUCCAAGGAGUCCUCUGCUUCAUCCUCUUCAUGGAUAUUUGAGUCCAUCUUGGCGCCGUCCCCAAAGGGUUUGGGACGGCAGCCUCCGCGCCCGGAGUUUCUUGAAAAGAAGCAAGACCCUGCUAGUCAGCCCUGCAGUACCAAAGCUCGCCCUUCAGAAAGUAUUCCCCCAGUCAGCGGAGGCCAUAAUGUUGGCAUUUUAAACAAGGAGGCGAGCUCAUUUUAUCAGGAAGAAAAGAUGCAACCAUGUCAUCUCAGCUCGUCCAUAUACUAUGGGGGUCGAGAAGUGUAUUCUUACCCUCAGGAUACCCAGACCCAGAGCUCCAAUACUUUUGGUAAAGAUGGUGGAGAAGAUGACUCUGGCUCUGCAUCAAGAGGCAAUUGGUGGCAGGGAUCUCUGUACUACUAGCAAGCUCACCGCCAAGGGACUGUGGACUCGUAAGUCUCGUAUAUAAUUAAGCAAGCUAGGGCGCAGGAAGCUGGAGGUUAUUAGGAUAGGUAGAAGAUCUUAGCUAAGGGCCAGUUACUCAGUUGCUCCCAUGGCAGUAGAAAUCAGAAUUAUCAACUGUAAUAGUAGUCAGUAUAGUGGCAGUGGUUAUAGAACUUUUUAUCUUUUAUCAUAAAUAGUCAGUGUAUGUGCUAAAGACUUAAGUGAUGCUGGUUAGCAGGAUCACUUUACUUUCUAUGAGCUUACUUUUCAGGGCUGAUUACCAUUACAUCUUUCUAUAAAAAUGGCCGUGAUUCCCUUUGUGUGAGUUUAA